rnacentral:rRNA from 1 species
GAUGAACGCUGACAGAAUGCUUAACACAUGCAAGUCAACUUGAAUUUGGGUUUUUAACUUAGGUUUGGGUGGCGGACGGGUGAGUAACGCGUAAAGAACUUGCCUCACAGCUAGGGACAACAUUUGGAAACGAAUGCUAAUACCUAAUAUUAUGAUAAUAGGGCAUCCUAUAAUUAUGAAAGCUAUAAGCGCUGUGAGAGAGCUUUUCGUCCCAUUAGCUAGUUGGAGAGGUAACGGCUCACCAAGGCGAUGAUGGGUAGCCGGCCUGAGAGGGUGAUCGGCCACAAGGGGACUGAGACACGGCCCGUACUCCUACGGGAGGCAGCAGUGGGGAAUAUUGGACAAUGGACCAAGAGUCUGAUGCAGCAAUUCUGUGUGCACGAUGAAGUUUUUCGGAAUGUAAAGUGCUUUCAGUUGGGAAGAAAGAAAUGACGGUACCAACAGAAGAAGUGACGGCUAAAUACGUG